rnacentral:rRNA from 1 species
CUUGGAUAACUGUGGUAAUUCUAGAGCUAAUACAUGCACUAAAGCCUCGACUGCAAGGGAAGGGCGCAUUUGUUAGAACAAAACCAAGCGGCUUCGGCCGUCCAGAGUUGACUCAGAAUAACUAAGCUGAUCGCAUGGCCUUGCGCCGGCGACGUGUCUUUCAAGUAUCUGCCUUAUCAACUUUCGAUGGUAGUAUAUCUGACUACCAUGGUGGUGACGGGUAACGGAGGAUAAGGGUUCGACUCCGGAGAAGGGGCCUGAGAAAUGGCCACUACGUCUAAGGAUGGCAGCAGGCGCGCAAAUUACCCACUCUCAGAACGGAGGAGGUAGUGACGAGAAAUAACGAGACUGUUCUCUUCAGAGGCCAGUCAUCGGAAUGGGUACAAUUUAAACCCUUUAACGAGUAUCUAUGAGAGGGCAAGUCUGGUGCCAGCAGCCGCGGUAAUUCCAGCUCUCAAAAUGCAUAGAAUUAUUGCUGCGGUUAAAAAGCUCGUAGUUGGAUCUGUGCCAGCGUGCUGGUCCACCCUUCGGGGUGUGCACUGGUCUACGUUGGCUUUCCUGUAGCUUAUGGCCUCAGGUCUUUAAACGGACCCGAGUGUCCAUUGCUACAAGUUUACUUUGAACAAAUCAGAGUGCUUCAAACAGGCGUUUCGCUUGAAUGUUCGUGCAUGGAAUAAUAGAAGAGGAUUUCGGUUCUAUUUUAUUGGUUUUAUAGACUGAGAUAAUGGUUAACAGAGAC